CAAGGGCGAACUGAACCGGGCAUGGAAGGCAAUUCUAUCAAGUAAAGCUAGUUGUCAGUCAGGGUUGAGACAGUAAGGUCGUUCAGGCUUGCUUGAGAAGGUAAGGCCUGAUAAGGCUUGCUUGAGAAGGUAAGGCCUGAUAAGGCUUGCUUGGGAAGGUAAGGCCUGAUAAGGGGCUUUAGAAAGUAAAGUCGGGAAGGCCUCGUUCAAGUUCUAUUCUCUACAUGAGCUUCGGGUAACCAAAUAUGAACUGGUACCAUGGGUGACGGCGAAAGAGGCAUGUUUAACCGAUAGCACUGGACUUGCUUAUGACAGUUAAAACUACCUUGGGCUUUAUACCAAAAGUAUCAAAAAAAAAUUGUAAAGAUUUUCGUUUGAAACAGUUGAAGUUGAAAAAGGCUUUACUUGCUUACUCGAAUUAGUCUUACUUACUAUUUUCAAUUCAUAUAAUAGAAUGCGCUAUUGGGAUAACAAUAGGAUAGAACAUGAAAGUCUUGCUUGUACUGAUCUUUUUU
rnacentral:lncRNA from 1 species